rnacentral:rRNA from 1 species
UUGGAGGGCAAGUCUGGUGCCAGCAGCCGCGGUAAUUCCAGCUCCAAUAGCGUAUAUUAAAGUUGUUGCAGUUAAAAAGCUCGUAGUUGAAUUUCGGGGUUAGUAGGUUGGUCAUGCCUCUGGUAUGUACUGGUCUCACUGAUUCCUCCUUCCUGAUGAACCUUAAUGCCAUUAAUUUGGUGUUUUGGGGAAUUUGGACUGUUACUUUGAAAAAAUUAGAGUGUUUAAAGCAAGCUAACGCUUGAAUACAUUAGCAUGGAAUAAUGAAAUAGGACGUUCGAUCCUAUUUUGUUGGUUUCUAGGAUUGACGUAAUGAUUAAUAGGGAUAGUUGGGGGCAUUAGUAUUCAAUUGUCAGAGGUGAAAUUCUUGGAUUUAUUGAAGACUAACUACUGCGAAAGCAUUUGCCAAGGAUGUUUUCAUUAAUCAAGAACGAAAGUUAGGGGAUCGAAGACGAUCAGAUACCGUCGUAGUCUUAACCAUAAACUAUGCCGACUAGGGAUCGGAUGAUGUUAAUUUUUUAGUGACUCAUUCGGCGCCUUACGGGAAAC